rnacentral:rRNA from 1 species
GACGAACGCUGGCGGCGUGCUUAACACGUGCAAGUCGAACGGAAAGGCCCUGCUUUUGUGGGGUGCUCGAGUGGCAAACGGGUGAGUAACACGUGAGUAACCUGCCCUUGACUUUGGGAUAACUUCAGGAAACUGGGGCUAAUACCGGAUAGGAGCUCCUGCUGCAUGGUGGGGGUUGGAAAGUUUCGGCGGUUGGGGAUGGACUCGCGGCUUAUCAGCUUGUUGGUGGGGUAGUGGCUUACCAAGGCUUUGACGGGUAGCCGGCCUGAGAGGGUGACCGGCCACAUUGGGACUGAGAUACGGCCCAGACUCCUACGGGAGGCAGCAGUGGGGAAUAUUGCACAAUGGGCGGAAGCCUGAUGCAGCAACGCCGCGUGCGGGAUGACGGCCUUCGGGUUGUAAACCGCUUUCGCCUGUGACGAAGCGUGAGUGACGGUAAUGGGUAAAGAAGCACCGGCUAACUACGUG